AGCUUGCCCGGGUAUAUCCAACUGUGUAACACAGCGUUGUCGAACCUGUACAACAUGCAAGUCGCGCUUGAAGGAUGUUUUCUUCAGAUUAUCUGCAAACAAAAGAACAUGUGACAGGUGCCCUGUCAUUCCAAACUGUCAGACACAGCCUUGUCUGACCUGUGAUGCUUGCAUUCCACCCACUAAGAACAACGUCAUCUUUAAACUAUCUGGAGGGAAAACAAUAUGUGCACGUUCUUGUCAGGAUAUGGGAAGUGCAGUUGAAAUGUCCCUGCAGUGGCUUAGUCCAGACAAGGAGAGAUGUGACCUCACCUGCUCAUACGUGGACAACAGGUGGUGUUGGCCUGGCAACUGUUCCAGUGGUCUGAUGACAUCCUGCUCGUGUGAAAGUGGAUUCAGGAAGUCAGGGAACUCCACCUGUGACAUUACCACAAAGGCGGAUUUGCUCACUUGCAACGUUGGAAUAGAAGACCACAGACAUGAGGUCAGGAACAGUACCAGUAUUGGCAACACCACAGACUGUUAUUCACAGACAGACGUAUAUAUCAACAUACAACCUG